rnacentral:ncRNA from 2 species
UGCGAUGAGUCGAGAGACCACACAGCAAUUUGCUGUUCGCGCAAGCGACUAAGGUGGUAUUUUGAGCGGGACACAUUUUAAGCACGGAUUUGUGGUGUCUGACUUCGAUGGAUUGUGGAGUCU